rnacentral:rRNA from 1 species
GACGAACGCUGGCGGCGUGCUUAACACAUGCAAGUCGUACGGUAAGGCCCUUUCGGGGGUACACGAGUGGCGAACGGGUGAGUAACACGUGAGUAACCUGCCCACAACUUUGGGAUAACGCUAGGAAACUGGUGCUAAUACUGGAUAUGUGCUCCUGCUGCAUGGUGGGGGUUGGAAAGCUCCGGCGGUUGUGGAUGGACUCGCGGCCUAUCAGCUUGUUGGUGGGGUAGUGGCCUACCAAGGCGGCGACGGGUAGCCGGCCUGAGAGGGUGACCGGCCACAUUGGGACUGAGAUACGGCCCAGACUCCUACGGGGGGCAGCAGUGGGGAAUAUUGCACAAUGGGCGCAAGCCUGAUGCAGCAACGCCGCGUGCGGGAGGACGGCCUUCGGGUUGUAAACCGCUUUCAGCAGGGACGAAGCUUUUUGUGACGGUACCUGCAGAAGAAGCACCGGCUAACUACGUG